rnacentral:rRNA from 1 species
ACGGAAGGCAGCAGUGGGGAAUAUUGCACAAUGGGCGCAAGCCUGAUGCAGCGAUGCCGCGUGAGGGAAGAAGGUUUUCGGAUUGUAAACCUCUGUCAUCGGGGACGAUAAUGACUGUACCCGAGAAGGAAGCUCCGGCUAACUACGUGCCAGCAGCCGCGGUAAUACGUAGGGAGCGAGCGUUAUCCGGAAUUACUGGGUGUAAAGGGAGCGUAGACGGUAUGGCAAGUCUGAAGUGAAAUGCAUGGGCUCAACCCAUGAACUGCUUUGGAAACUGUCAAACUAGAGUGCAGGAGAGGUAAGUGGAAUUCCUAGUGUAGCGGUGAAAUGCGUAGAUAUUAGGAGGAACACCAGUGGCGAAGGCGGCUUACUGGACUGUAACUGACGUUGAGGCUCGAAAGCGUGGGGAGCAAACAGGAUUAGAUACCCUGGUA